CUAUUCUGCAUUUUGUGAGCUUCUACUAUUUAAUUGUAAAAUUAUUGUAUUUGUUUAGUUGCAUGUCUGUAUCGUGCUCUUUUACUCGUUUGCACAAAGUUGUGGAGGUUUGUUGGCUUGGCAAAUGCAUCUGAAAUACAGUGUCAGUGUCUACCUUCUAAGUGGUGAUCCUUCUACUUUGGUUUCUUCACAUCCGACAAUAGUCAUAUUGGCGUAUAUGUUCGGAACAAUAUCUCCCAUAAAAUAGUGAAUUGGUAAUAUUUACUAUCAAAUUUUACUUGAUGGACUGGCUUGGGUGGUGAAUCAUAAUAACAUUACAAAUGCCUAACACUUGGUUUUUCUUGUGCCAGAUUUGCUUUAAACAGCUGCAUUAGAAAUUUUCUUGGAUUAAUUUUCAACAUUAUAGUUCAAAAUUUGUGUUAUUCUAAGUUAUACGUUAGGUUUUAAUUGCAAAUUGUAUUCAAUAUAUUAAACUCUUAGUCAACAGAUGCUGACUCCAAUUUCCUAAGCUUGGCAUGUGGCACCUGCACAUGCAUCUAUGGGCACGUGUGGGCUUCAUUUGUCAGACCUGCACUUAGACUCGACCAUGGUUCGAACUGCUGUUCAACGAUUCCAAGAAGAUCGACCCUUAAUCUUAACCGUCCAAGACGGUUACGGUCACAUUUCAUGACGGUUCAAUAUUAUUAUUAUUUUAUUUUAUUAAAAAUAUUUUCAAAAAAAAUUUGGUUAGUUAGGCUGGUAAUUAAAAUGUCGAGCACAAGCCCAAGACUGAGCGUUUGCUGGUGUUGGUCCUUGCUUUGUCGGAGUUGAUCCCAACCUCACUUGGCGACAGAGAAGUACUCUCGGAAACAAGAUGAGAGCGGUGACGUCAACGACCCAGGCCUGGACCUAAUAUGCAUGCUUUCCCUCACACUCAUCUGCUACCACCCAGCGGCCAACUUUCGUCACUCGCCACAAUAGGAAUUAGAAGUCGCAUAGGCCAACUUCACCCAUCGGCAUGUGUAGCAACCCCAUCGCCGCUUCACGUCGUCGUCCUGCUAGAAAGGUGACGCCGUUUUAUCUUUGUUUCCCAUGGCGGCUCUUGCUUUUUCCACUGAUCCAGACCGCUAAACCCUCGAUCUCUCAGCCCCUUCGUUGGUGAUCCAUGGUUGUCGCUCGUAUGCUGCUGCAUCUAGUGAUCAGGAAGGCGACAGCUACACCAUCUUCAUCACUCCCUCAUCGACCACACCUAAAAUUCAACUAGUCAACCUAAUAGUUAAAAAAAACACAGUUGAAUUGCCGGUUCACAUUGUUGGUUCACAGUUAUUUUUGAAGUUGAACCGGCCUGACCUACCCUAGGCAGGCCAGUUCCAGUUUCAGUCCGUUUAACUGGGUCAAUGGGUAACCAACUAGUUGACUUUGUUGCGGGUCCAGGCCGGGUCUGGUUCGGACCCGGUCCGGGGUUGGGUCUACCUUCACUCAUCAGUAAAAAAAAAUUGGAUUAAACUUUCAAUCUUGUAGUUCAACAUUUGUGUUAUUUUAAGCUGCACAUUGGGUUUUAACUACAAAUUAUAACAAUAUGUUAAACUCUGAGUCAACGGGCGUUGACUCCAGUUUUGUAAGCAUGACAUGUGGCAGCUGUUCAUGCAUCUAUGAUCGUGUGUGGGCUGAGCUCAUCUGUGAGGCCUUCACUCAUCAAAAAAAAAAAAAAAAAAAAAAAAAAAAAAAGA